rnacentral:rRNA from 1 species
UGGGGGAAACCCUGACGCAGCAACGCCGCGUGGGCGACGAAGGUCUUCGGAUUGUAAAGCCCUGUCUUCUGGGACGAUAAUGACGGUACCAGAGGAGGAAGCCACGGCUAACUACGUGCCAGCAGCCGCGGUAAUACGUAGGUGGCAAGCGUUGUCCGGAAUUACUGGGCGUAAAGGGUGCGUAGGCGGAUAUUUAAGUGGGAUGUGAAAUACCUGAGCUCAACUCGGGUGCUGCAUUCCAAACUGGAUAUCUAGAGUGCAGGAGAGGAGAAUGGAAUUCCUAGUGUAGCGGUGAAAUGCGUAGAGAUUAGGAAGAACACCAGUGGCGAAGGCGAUUCUCUGGACUGUAACUGACGCUGAGGCACGAAAGCGUGGGUAGCAAACAGGAUUAGAUACCCUGGUAGUCCACGCCGUAAACGAUGAGUGCUAGGUGUUGCGGGUAUCGACCCCUGCAGUGCCGUAGUUAACACAAUAAGCACUCCGCCUGGGGAGUA